CACUGAAUUACAUGCUGUAUAGUAUGCACUGUUACAUACUGUACAGUGUGUACUGUAUUACAUACUGUAUAGUGUGUGCUGUUACAUACUGUAUAGUGUGCACUGUGUUGCAUACUGUAUAGUGUGCACUGUGUUGCAUACUGUAUAGUGAGCGCUGUAUUGCAUACUGUAUAGUGUGCACUGUGUUACAUGCUGUAUAGUGUGCACUGAAUUACAUACUGUAUAGUGUGCACUGAAUUACAUAUUGUAUAGUGUGAACUGUGUUACAUACUGUAUAGUGUGAACUGUGUUACAUGCUGUAUAGUGUGCACUGAAUUACAUGCUGUAUAGUAUGCACUGAAUUACAUACCGUAUAGUGUGCAUAGUAUUACCAGUGUCUCUGCCUCCUGAUAGGUGGGAAGUCUUGAAAAGUAGGGUCUCCAAAUAUAGUACCCACUCACCAGUACUUACUACAAUGCCUGGCACCUGCUAGAAAGAAUACCAAUGUUUGGCCAAUAAAUUAAUUAUUUAUAGGGCAAGAGAGGCUCCUCCUGUUAAAGGCUAACCUUCAGGCAUCCUCAUAACUCUCAUUUGGAUUUGGAGAACAAAGACUACAAACUUUCUGUUGGCAAGAUCCACGGGAAUGGCCUUUUGAAGUAACACUAAUGUUGCUGGAAAUAUUAAAAAAUGACCGGCAUGUUCCCACACAUAUGCCGGCAACUCUCCGGCGGGGCCUGAGCUCCCAAGUUCCUCUUGAUGCCAUGCAAUGACCAUCCACACCACGGUCAGCCACCACAAUACCCAUCUGCCCGAUAGAAACAAAACUCUUGAAGCUUAUAAUUAACCAAUCAGAUUUAUGUAUCAAUAAAUAUCAAUUUAUAAGAUGCCAAGACAAUAAAUUCAAAACCAAUUGAUAAUGAUAAGAGCUUUAUCCCAAUUAUUCUAACCUUAUAUCAUAACUACCUGUGGCUGGUUAAAGCCAUAUUGGUUCACAUCUGCCUCCAUCUUGGCCUUCUCCCUUCUCCCUCUGAGACACUGUCUCUGCAACUCUUAGUUCUGCCUCCCUUUCACUGUCCAAUCACAGGCCUCCUGCUGCCCUAAUGUAAUUAUUGGACAGGGAAAAUCCUGCAACACACUAAGUUCUGUUUUUCUUCUGCUUUUGAGACAGGGUCUCACUAUGUAGCCCUGGCUGGCCUAGAACCUGCUUUUGUAGACCAGGCUGGCCUCCAAAUUAUAGAGAUACUGCCUUCCUCUACCUCAUGAAUUCUGAGACUAUAGGUGUACACCACCACAUCCAACCCAGCCUUUCCCUUUUAAAAUUAGUUUUGCUCAUAUAUAGUUUACACGUGGGCACAUGGGCACACACACACACAUACACACUAUUGUAUCAGGCAAGCAAACACUGUCACUGAGCCACUCCACUAGGGCCCAAGCCCCCUACUUUUAAUUUUUGUUUUUUUGUUUUUUUUUUUUUUGAGACAGGUUGCCUUGAUUGACAUUGAACUUUCAACAAUCAUCCUGCAUCUGCAUCCCAAAUGCUAGGAUUAUAGGCAUGUGUUACCAUGCCCAGCUUCUCUCUCUUUUAAUAGAAACAUAAGUCAUUGGGUAUAUUUUAUAUAUUUAUAAAUAUAUUUAUUUAUAAAUCAAAUAUUAUAUUUAUUUAAACUGUAUAAAAUUCAAGUAGCCAAAAUGCCUGUAAAGAUUUAUAGAACUCUGUGAGUUCAAGCCCAGUCUGGUCUGCAAGUUGGUUCCAGGCCAACUUGGCCUAAACAGUGAGUUCCAGGAUACCCAAGGCUAAGUAGAGACUCUUAUCUCAAAAUAACAAAAGAUUCACAGAAUAUAUGUGUCUAUUUCUAGAGAAGAAAAACAUACAUUUCUUAAAGGAGUGUUGGAGGAAGUUGUAAGAAGAUAAUAACUGCUGCCUAAUAUUCAGUUCUUUCCAUUAUUGAACUAAAUGCAAAAAAAAAAAAAAAAAAAAAGAGAGAUGGAUGCCCAGUUAAGAGCACAGGCUGCGCUUCCAAAGGAUCCAGGUUUGAUUCCCAGCACUUACGUGGGGGCUUACAGCUAUCUAACUUCAUUUCCAGAGGAUCAUAUGCCCUCUUCUGUCCAAGGGCAUCAGACCCUACACACACCCCACCCCAGAAAAAAAAAAAAAAGGCAAAGAAAAAAUAAGCUCAGCUAGGGGUGGCAGUGCAUACUUGUAAUCCUGCCACUCUGGAAGUAGAAGGGAGAGGAUCAGGGCUGAGACCAGCUUGGUCUACAUGAGGUCUCUGUUAAUAGAAAGGGCAUACCUUUAAUCCUAGGAUUUGGGAGGCAAAGACAGGAAGACAGGCAGAUCUCUAUGAGUUCAAGGCCAACCUGAUCUACAUAGACCAACCUGGUCUACAUAGUGAAUUCCAGGCCAGCCAAGGCUAUAUAGGAAGACUUUGUCACAAAAACAAAGAACAAAAACAAACAAACAAACAAAAACAGCACCAAGAAAGAGAAGAGGAGAGGGGAGAGGAAAGAGAAAGAGGAGAAGAGAAAGUAAAUUAGCUAGCUCAGGUCCCACAUUUUCACUUUAGAGUCACCCAACUUUUCUUAUGCAUUCAAAGCUUACCUUUACAUUGUACAAAACGUUUUAUUUAGAUGAUAUAUUUAAACAGCAACUAUCACUGUUGCAAACAGGAAAUUAAUAUCACUUGGCAUUAAGUAGAAGUGACUCACUGAAAAGUGUAUGAAUAUGAAGAUUAUUAAUGUCUAGCUGGGAAUAGGUUUUGCCUUGAAGCUUUAAAGGGGUCUUAAAGGGGCAUUUGGAAGGCACUGCCUCCAAUAAAAGAUAGCCUCUCUACAAAAAUCAAAUAUAUUGAAAAGAAAUAACUUCCCCAAUGUCAUUUGGCGUUAUGUCCCUGUACAAAUGAAUGCUGUCUUCUUCCAAGAGAACCCUUACAGAAUCUAAAUCCUCCACCUAUCUCCAGAUCUUAUAGCUUCCUAAAAGAAUAAUAUUCCCCUGGCUCCCUCCUCUAAUUUUAAACACAACGAAAGGUUUCAUUAUUCAAUAAAGUAGUCAAAGCCUUAGGUCUCAACUACUCAAAGAGCUGGUCUCAAAAAAUCAUCAAAAUCGCUAAUCCCUGAAGUCCAAGGCCACUUUGCUCCCACUACAGGAAUUGAGAAAGCCACCAGAACACUAACAAUAAAAAGGAUAAUAAUGUUGGUAACUUUUCUUCCAAGCCACUUACUUGGCAAAGGUCUUAGCAGACAUUCAAAUGGCUGGUGUCUGAGUCCUAUUAGAAAGGGUGACUUUUCCUCACUAUCCCCAAAGCUGAAGGGUUUCCAGAACUGUCACACUACUGAGAGUCUGAAUGGGUGGCCUUAAAGACAGGCAAUGAAGAGUCAGGUUGCUCCUGAGUUAGUUUCAAGCUGGGUGCUGGGAGAGUCUCCAAAGCUUCAGCACUUUAGUUCUUAGGAACCUUCCGGACAGGUGAAGAAAUCUGAGAAGUCUGGGCUAAAGAGGCCUGCGGGUGCUGAGUCUGGGCAGACCCAGGUGGCACCCCAGGAACCCCCUUGGCCAAAGUAUGGCUCUUAGAAGCUUUAUCAGUUUCAGGAGUUUGAGAGGCAAGAGGAAGAUUCUGGAGAUGGCUUUGUUGGGCCAGAGAUCCCUGGAUUUGGCUCUGAGAGGUCAUGGGUACCACGGGGAAACUGUCAGAGGGCAUGGGCACUAGGAAGUGGCUCUGGCUUUCUUCCUGUUCCAGAGGGUAGAUCUGAGAGGCCACACUGAUCUUAGAGCGCCCCUGAGAGUGGGGGCCCAAAGGCACACAGCUUUCAGAAGAUACAGAGGGCAGGAUUUGGCUCUGAGAGGUCACAGGUACCAUAGAUAAACUGUCAGGGAUCACCAAGAGAUGGCUCUGGCUUUCUUCUCGUUCCAGAGGGUAGAUCUUAGAGGCCACACUGAUCUUAGAGCGCCCCUGAGAGUGAGGGCCCAAAGGCACACAGCUUUCAGAAGAUACAGAGGGCAGGAUUUGGCUUUGAGAGGUCACAGGUACCAUAGAUAAACUGUCAGGGAUCACCAAGAAGUGGCUCUGGCUUUCUUCUCGUUCCAGAGGGUAGAUCUGAGUGGCCACACUGAUCUUAGAGCGCCCCUGAGAGUGAGGGCCCAAAGGCACACAGCUUUCAGAAGAUACAGAGGGCAGGAUUUGGCUCUGAGAGGUCACAGGUACCAUAGAUAAACUGUCAGGGAUCACCAAGAGAUGGCUCUGGCUUUCUUCUCGUUCCAGAGGGUAGAUCUUAGAGGCCACACUGAUCUUAGAGCGCCCCUGAGAGUGAGGGCCCAAAGGCACACAGCUUUCAGAAGAUACAGAGGGCAGGAUUUGGCUCUGAGAGGUCACAGGUACCAUAGAUAAACUGUCAGGGAUCACCAAGAAGUGGCUCUGGCUUUCUUCUCGUUCCAGAGGGUAGAUCUGAGUGGCCACACUGAUCUUAGAGCGCCCCUGAGAGUGAGGGCCCAAAGGCACACAGCUUUCAGAAGAUACAGAGGGCAGGAUUUGGCUUUGAGAGGUCACGGGUACCAUAGAUAAACUGUCAGGGAUCACCAAGAGGUGGCUCUGACUUUCUUCUCGUUCCAGAGGGUAGAUCUGAGAGGCCACACUGAUUUUAGAGUGCUCCUGAGAGUGAGAGUCCAAAUACACAUGGCUGUCAGAGGACAUUGCCAUCUGAGAAUUGCUGUCAGACGCCAAAGGGUAGGUCUGCGAAGUCACUGAAAAGACAGGUUGACUCCUAGAAGUACAAAUGGAAAGACCGGUGUGGACAAUGCCCAGAGGCAGGCUCUUAGAGGUCUGGACUCUGCUAAACUGAUUCAGAACAGCCUCAGGCUUCGCUGAACGGAACAACGCUCUGCCACCCGAGGUUCUGGCGUCGCAGUUCCUUUCUAGCUGCCCCGGGUCCGUAGAGCUGAUGCUACUGAUCCGCUGGACGACCCGCGGGUGGAGUCGCCGCCGCCGUCGCCGGCGAAUCCGCUGAAAGGUGUCGGAGACGCUCCUAAGGGUCAGCGAGAAGCGACGGCUGCCGCUACGGUGCACCCCGCUCUCGCGGGGCGAAGUCCCCCUCAAGGGGUCUUCCGGGAGCGCCUCUAUGUUGCCGGUGUACCAGGAGAUCCACCACAGGAGACUGACGAAGAUGAUGAUGGAACCCAAAUAGAGCAGCAUGUCGUAGAACAGCAAGUUGGCGAAGACGCCAGUGAACAGCACUGCCACACCCACCGCGUCGAAGGCGACGCCCAGCCAAAAAAAGUGACUGCAGCGACCCAAGGGCCCGGACUGCAUCUCCGCCAAGUCUGUGUUCUUUUGCGGAAGCUCCGAGAGGCUCAACAUCUUCCACGCAAACCCCGCCAGAGGACACCAGGCC
rnacentral:lncRNA from 1 species